UGCGGUCUGCUGAAAUCGCAACC
rnacentral:misc_RNA from 1 species